rnacentral:misc_RNA from 1 species
GAUGAAGAACGCAGCGAAAUGCGAUAAGUAAUGUGAAUUGCAGAAUUCAGUGAAUCAUCGAAUCUUUGAACGCACAUUGCGCCCGCCAGUAUUCUGGCGGGCAUGCCUGUUCGAGCGUCAUUUCAACCAUCAAGCCCCCGGCUUGCGAUGGGGCCAUGCGGCUGCCGCAUCCCCCGAAAUUCAGUGGCGGGCUCGCCUUCACUCCGAGCGCAGUAACGCAUCUCGCUCUGGUCGUGUCGCGGGCUCCUGCCGUAAAACACCCCAAUUUUAAGGUUGACCUCGGAUCAGGUAGGAAUACCCGCUGAACUUAAGCAUAUCAAUAAGCGGAGGGA